CACAGAUUAACCACGUCUAUUAAUCACAUCGCGCACGUAUCAGUCAGUAUUUUGAAUUUCGAUUUGCAUUCUUUUUUUUUUUUUACGAUAGUAUAUCUGACGUAAGCGUUCGGAAGUUCGCUAUCUUUGACUGAAAAACACAUCGAGCUGAGAAACUUGGCGGACAGUUAAUUUCCAUUUCGCCGCGCCAGUUAAAAGUUAAUUGCAAUCGCAUGGCCGUGUCUGCCGGACGUGUGAUUAGAGUCACGCCGUCAGGCUUUUAAUGUGUAAUGUGUGCCUGCAAUUAACGAUAAUCCGAUUGAGGCCAAUUGGAGGACACGAGCGCUUCUUCUCGCGGGAACAAAGCUGAUUACGAACAGCAGAACAAAUAGUUACACAGUCGAGCGCGAGAAUUGCAAGUUUCGCCGACAUUUUCAAAUUAAAACGUACAGCUACUUAAAAGUAUACGCGUGUAGGCAUAUCGUGUUAUGUUCAGUGUUACGUACAGUGCUUGUAAAUUUGAAACUGGAAUUGGUAUUAUAUAGGUGUGUUUACUCUACUCGACUGGAUUUCACUUGAUCCACUUGUUCGAACGGAUUUGGAAUUAUACAAAGUGAAUUGAAGAAGUGAACUGAAGGUUUAUAUUCGUUGGAAUUAUAAAAAGAGACUAGAAGUUGUCAAUCGAGUACUUUGUCUGUAAAAACUAACCAACUACAAUAAUUACAGAUACAUACCAAUAAUAAAAUCGCGAGCUUCAGUUAUCAGAAUAAGCGUGAACAAGAUAAGAUUACAUUAUUCAACAGAAUUUGAUGUUCUUUAAUUGUGACUCUACUGAUUCGUGUGUAAAAGUGAAAAUUGAAUGUUUAAGUAUUUAAUGAAACGUAAAAUAAUAUAUAAAAAAAAAAAUAAUAAUGUGAACGAACGUGAAAUUAAUAAAGCUAUAACAUAUGUCACGAUACGCACGCGAGAUGUAAUCUUGUGCAAUUUGAUUACGUAAACGAUAACGCGUGACAGAUGAUAAUUUCAGUAAAGGAAAAGUGUGAACUAAAAUUGUUAAUGAGAUUAAUUUUUUGACAAGAGUAAAUCAAAGGGAUAGUACAACUAUAUUGUCUUCAAUCGUUCCCUACUAUAUGUGUAAGUACUCAUUCUUUCAAUGUUACUUUUAUUUUUGAUUUACACAUCUUACAUACAAAUUUUAUACUUUUACAUUAAGAGGAUUUCUUUAGUAUUAAGGAAUGUAUUACAAUGAUGAGAUCGAGACUCCAAACAACGCCAUUCAUUUAAAUUUCAUUUUUAUAGACGAUAAUAUUUGUCAGAAUCUAUUUUGAUAAUUUUUGAUUUCUAUCUAUUGGUUAUUACUUCAUAAUUUUGACUUAUCUUAUCUUCUAAUUUCUUUCAAGUAGGUAAGUAAAAUUGGCCACUCCAAAAUUAUACACUCUCUGAUUGUUAUCCAACUUCUCCACGUUCUUUUUUAAAUAUAUAUUUAGAAAGUAGAACCUACUAUCUCUUUAAACUACCCUCUACUAAAUGUUAUAGACAGUACUCUACUUUAGAUAUUUUAUUUGGAGAUUUCAUUUCUACGUAUUGUACGCAUCCUGUAUACUCUUCAGUAUCUCGCAAUUGUUCAGACUUUGCAGUAAACGCGACACUUAAUUGUAAAUUUAAAAAAGCAAACAAAAAAAAAAAAAAAAAACAGAAUACUUCGGAAUAAUUGAAACUCUCUUAUCAGUGCGUAAUUGACAAAUUUCAACAAUACUCUUUAUUAAAUUUUUUAAUAAACUUGUAUCUUUAUAUCCCUUCCAAUCAAUAUGAAACUAUCUCUACUUUGUCGUGUUCCUCUGCAACAGUAGAUACACGUUUCCGAUCCUAAUUCCGAAUACGAAAUCUCGCGGCUGCUCCACAAGUUCGAGCAUUUCUCAUCUCACGAGUAUACUUUAUAUGCACCGUUUGAGCUAAGAAGAAACUACUUCGGUGACUGGGAUAUUUAUAAACGCGAUCGGUAGUGGGAGAGCAACUGGUAAUGUAACAUUAGCAAGUCAGGUAAAAGCGAAAGGAGAGAGAAAACGGAGAAUACAGUCCAGAAUACACAUAAGCAGCAGCACUCGCUUCGAUUUUCAUAGAUCAACAUUAUUAGUGGUACAUGUAUACAAUUCCCACGGGAUUAGAAUGAGUCAUAGUACGAUCAGUGAGAUCGAAAGUUGCAGAACUGACCAGUCAGUCAAUGUUGAUCGCAUCGUGAAAACGGGAUCAUGGCACUGUGCUUUUUCUCGAGUAUAGGACUAUAUUCGAAA